rnacentral:rRNA from 1 species
UACGGAGGGUGCAAGCGUUGUCCGGAUUUAUUGGGUUUAAAGGGUGCGUAGGUGGUUUGAUAAGUCCGGGGUGAAAGCCCACAGCUCAACUGUGGAACUGCCCUGGAUACUGUCAGACUUGAGGGUAGACGAGGUUGGCGGAACAGAAGGUGUAGCGGUGAAAUGCAUAGAUACCUUCUAGAACCCCGAUUGCGUAGGCAGCUGACUAGGCUACACCUGACACUGAGGCACGAAAGCGUGGGGAGCGAACAGG